AAAAAUUGCUAUAUUGGAGUUGAUAUCCAUUACAGCAAUAUAAUGGAUAUCUUGUCUCAUUAUUUAUAUAAUUAAAACUAAUCUUGACCACUUCCUGUUUGCGCUGUAUAUUGAUUUUAGAAAAAACGCGACCAGUUACGGCUGUGAUUUUGGCCCUCUCCAGCUGUCAACAACAAUUGCAGUACUCGACACCUGAAAGCCAAGGAAUCUUUGGUAAUUAAGCCUAUCCUUGUUAUAGGACAGAACCCACACCCAAAUCAACAUUGGACAAAAUGCGGAAGGAACAUACAUAGGAAGAACAGAAGCAUCAGAACUCUAGGUUGUGGUUGGACCAAUUUAACACUGAACAAAAGAAAAUACCAGUGAUAGCGAGGAGGAAAAGACCCAUUCAGGAACAAACAGGAGAGCAUGAGCAUCAUAACUGAAGCUACUUGUUGGUGGGAAACACAAAUGAAGAUGUUAAAGAGUUCAAGGUUUGCCUUUCAAGAGAGGAUUCGGCAGCUGAAGACGGGCCCACGGUGGGUGCCGGAGGUUGGACUUGCCCCGUGGUGGGUACCGGAAAGAUGAUGAAGAAGAGAAGUGGCAAAGAUAGUUAUGACAAAUGACCCAAUUUCAUCACCCAAGCGAGACGGAUAAAGAGUUGGACCCUUAGGGAGCGAGGAAGACGGACGGAGCCGUCCCAGCGAGGACUCGACAGCUGAAGACGGGCCCUCGGUGGGUCCCGGAGGUCAAAGAGAAGCCGACGAGGAGCAAGUGCCAAUGAUAGGUAUGUCAACUGCAGAAAGCAACACCUGAAAUCCAAGGGAUCUCUGGUAAUGAAACCUAUCUUUGUCAUAGGACAGAACCCACCCCCAAGUCAACACUGGACAAAAUGAGGAACAUACAUGAGAGGAACAGGAGCAUCAAAACCCUACUACAGAUUGUCUCUGGGAAAACCAAAGCAUUGCAACUCACCAGAAGUAACUAGAGCUAAUGACGAUUGAGAACCAAGCUGGACUCCUUUUUGCAGUUUCAUUGGAUUCACCAGAAGGGCAAAGCCGGAAGAAAGAUGUCAAACAGCCUGACCAGCUCGGAGAGGAUUCUGCUAGCAAGAUAGAAUCUCUGGGAAUUAUGCAUCUUUUUACCAAUAAACGGAGCCCUCACCAAUUCAACCGGUGAAAUGAAAGCACAUGCUAAGCAAUAACAGAUAAAUAAAUUGUUAUAUUGGCAUAUAUUGGAGUUGAUAUCCAUUACAGCAAUCAAAUGGAUAUCUUGUCUCAUGUUAUUAUUAGCUAUGGGAAAGUAGACCAUGAUAAUACAAAAACAAUUUUUGUGGAGCUGCCAUUGUUGUGGUUUAGAAGGAGUGUGUUGCUGGUGCAAUGUGGUUCAAGAACCUGAUGGUUGACGGGGAGAUUCCGUUCUUGAACCUUGAAAGAACAGGCCUUGGGCUGCUCAGAGUCUUUUAAGAGGCACCGUAAAAAGCAGCAAUUUGCAUUUUUAAUCUGGAUGCUUUAUUACUUUAUUUGCUUACACAUGUAGACUUUAUGUGAAGUUCAGACCAGCAUUUUAUCUUCAGGCUGGGUAAAAGGUUUUUGGUAUUUAGCCACAAUGCAAAGUGAGGAAUGGUGAUCAUGAUAACUUACAGGCUUGUUCUUGUGUGAUGUGAACAUAACAUGUUGUAUUGAUUAAUCCAUUGCUUCUUUACCAAUGUCUAAUGAUAAAUCUGGCAGAAGGUUAAGAAGUCUAUAAUAGUUUGUCUGAGGAACCAGAGAUGUGGAACCUAAUGGAUCCCAUGAAGAAUGUUUUUCUGAACUAUCCCUGCUUUCAACCCAAUAAUCUCUCCUUAGCUGCAGCACAUGCAAUAAAAUAGAUACUUGAAUGUUAACUCCAACAUUGUAGGAUGUCCAAACUGCCAGGUGAUUGAAGUGAAACCUCACUUCACACCCCUUGCAACGCUCAGGUUGCCAGAUGAAAUGUGCAGAAAGCGACACCUGAAAGCCAAGGAGUCUGGGAAUGAAACCUCUACUUGCCAGAGGACAGAGGCACAACCAAGUCAACACAGAUUAAAAGUAGGAGGAAAAGGCCCAGCCAUGAAUAUACAGGAGGGCAGGAGCAAUAGAGCCCUGACACUUCUCUUCCCUGGGGAAACCAAAGCAUCACCACAGACCAGAAGAGGAUGGAGAUAAUCAUUGGUGAAGUAGGCUGGUCUCCACUGUGCAAUACUAUUAGAUUCACCACAAGGACUUGGCCAAAAGAAAGAUGCCCAAGAUCCUGAAGUGCUCUGGGGAUACACUGCUCGCAAGACAGAAAAAUCCCAGGAUCACAAAAGAAACACAAUGAAGAACAACUAUAAUUUCUCUGAUAAACCUGCAGUGUCUUGGAUAUUAAUUUGAGAUCGAUCUGCACUGAAAGAUGGGACAUCGGCGGUUGUAGAGCUACUGAGGAUCAAUGAGCUUAACCUGGCCCUGGAGGAUGAUACAAGGCGUCCAGGCUGAGAGUCACUGUCCUGCCUGAGGAGAUCCGGUGCAUCUGUUACCUUCUCUCGCCCAGUCCAACAUACGGUAUGUAAAAAGCCACUGAAUUAUUUUAUUCCCAACAAACGUUUUUUUUUAAAGAGUCAGUGAAAAGAGAUGUAAUAUUUCACUCCCAUAGUAUGCCAUGUCCAUUUAAUUUGGAUGACAUUUUUCUCUAUUUGAUGAUACAAGAGAUUGAGCUUUUUUCCCCCUUGAUUGAGUUGGGUUUCAAGCUUGACGAAAAGCUGUUUUAAUCCUGGAGGGGAUAGUUCCCUGGUUCCUGCAUCAUCUUUCUGAUGAUAGGUGCCUUUUUGACGAAGCACUUUGUGCAGAUUCCUUCAAUGGUGUGGUGAGGCAAUAAUGAGGAAAAGACCCAGCUCUCGGGUUUAGACAGUAGAUGUGGAGGUUGGGCUGGGGGUCAAGAAUGGGUUGACGGUCGGUUGGAUGCGCCGCUGAGAACAAAGGAGGAGCCGGCGUGGGGAACCACCGAAAUGUCUUCCUGCAGACUUCGGUGACCUACUCUGAGGUGACUGCCAGCAACGUGCCAGGGGGUAGAGCGGCCAUCGACUCAACACUAGCCAAAAGAAGGCAAAAGGGGUUUAAGGGAGGAGGAAAAGAUCCAGUAUUUUAGUAGUAUAGAGGAGAGCCAGAGCAGCAUAACCCUGACACAGCUCGUUGCUGGGAAACCCAAGGCAUCAUAACAGACAAGAAACAGAACAGAACAAACGCCUCCCAGGAAGCCACAAGCAGUGGGAGAAGCUGGUUGAUGCAUCCCUGUGGCCCAACUCUGGGUCGGAGCUACGGAGCCUUCAAGAGUGGACCCGACGACGAUAGAAUUUGGCCUGGGUGGUUUGCGAGGAGGUCGUGUCAGCAGUCGGCAAGAAGGUAGAGCUGGCGGUCGAGGUGGGGUAAGGUGUUGGCGGUGGGUGCUGGAGGUCGGGCGCUCCGCCGAGAACAAAGGAGAAUCCGGCGUUGGGGGACCGCCAAGAGGGAAAACCAAAGAAGACGUGCUGCGGAGAACGAAGUAGGACCCUGCGUGGGAGAACGCCGAGAACUAAGGGGGACUGUCCACAUCUGGUAUCUCCAGACCUCAGCCAACUGCUGCCUCAACCAAGGGCGUAAUGGUGGUGCAGCGUAGAGUUGCUGCCUUACAGCACCAGAGACCCGGGUUUGAUCCUGAUUACGGGAGCUCUCUGUGGAAUUUGUUCGUUCUCCCCGUGACCUGUGUCCGUUUUCUCUGAGAUCUUUGGUUAACUCCCACACUCAAGGCGUACAGGUUUGUAGGUUAAUUGGGUACGGUAAAAAUUAUAAAUUGCUCCUACCGUGCGUGAUAGUGUUAAUGUGCGGGGAUGUUUUUGCGCUGUAUCUCUAAACUAAACUAGUUCACUGAUUCUCUUGUGCCCUUGCCUCUGUCUCUGUAUCCGAUUUCACCAACAGAUACGGAGCACCUCCACUCCCAGUAACCUUCCUCCUCAACCCUCCUUCUAUGCUGUCUUGGGCAAGCAGAAGUCACCAGUCGUCUAUAUUGAUGGACCCAUGCUCUCAGAUCUUGGCUAUCAUGGACCUUCUGUGCACCAAUGAGCUUAACCUGGCCAAUCUGCAACUGACAGUUGCCGGCUUGCCCAAGGAGAUCCAGAGCAUCUGCAAUGUUCCCUCGUUCAUUCCAACAAAGCCUCUGCUGGGUUCGAUCCAGAGUAUGAGGCACUGCCCUAACCAUUAGAUGGAUGCCAUGUUGAAAAUAACCUCAAGUUUUCAGAAAGGAAUGGAUGGAUCCUGCUUCUUAUUGCUCCCUCCAGCAAGAUGGCGGUGGUACGCUUCAUCCUCCAGAUCACCACAACAGCAGUCUGCAGUACCAUCGGGCAGCUCAUUAUGAUGAUGAUACAUUGACAUAAUUGAAACCGCCUUAUUGGGUUAAAGCACAGAAUGGAUUUAGAUGAAGAAAAUAAUAUGAGCCACUGAAUUCUAUCAUCACCAAAAAAGCAUACCAUCGUUUCUACUUCCUCAGAAGACAAGGAUAUUUGACAUUAAUUUAAAGACUCCUACCAACUUCUACAGUUGAACUGUAGAAAACGUACUGCCAGGUUUUAUCAUAGCUUGGUUUGGGAACAGCUUUGCCCAAGACCACACGGAAUUGCAGAGUUGUGGAUCACUCCAGCACACAGACCAGACGUCCCACCAUUGACUACAUCUACACUUCACUCCCUUGGGAAAGCAGCCAACAUAAUCAAAGACCUUUUCCACCCUUGUCAUUUUUCACUUUUCCGUUUCCACCACAAAGAGGAUAUAAAAGCUUGAACGCACGUACCUUCAGACUCUGGAACAGCUUCUUCCACUGUUAUUUGAAUUCUGAACGGUCCUUCCAGAAGCUAGGAUACAUUUCCUAAUUUCCACCCAACAUCAUUGUGAACAUUGGACUUUUUCUCAGAAACGAUUAUGCUACAAUGUUGAGAAAUUGUCUGUUUCUCCUCUCUCUACCUAUUGUGCUUGUGUAUGGCUUGAUUGUAUUAAUGUACAGUAUUACCUGAUUUAAUUGCAUAGCAUGCAAACAAAAGCUUUUCACUGUAUCUCAGUGCACACAACAAUAAAGCAAUUUAAACUUGUUUUAUGUGCCACAGUAGAUGACUUCACAUUGCCAUAUUAUAUUCCUUCUUUUAUGUUCUGGCCCACACACUCUCUCUUUAAAACCUCUUUACAUCCUUCUCACUGCUCAAACAAUUCCCAAGUUUUGUAUCAUCAGUAAAAUUGGAAAUGUGAUAUUUGGCUUCCUCAUCCAACUAGUUGAAGAAGACUGAAUAAUCAAGGUUCCUGUGUUACCCACCUAUUUAUUCCCAAUCCUUGGUUUCUGUCUGUCAGCCAAUUCUCAAUAGCCAGCAGUAUACUACACUAAUCACAUACCUUCUGAAGUUCUAAAUGUACCACUGCCAUUGUCCAUUUAACCAACCAUAUCCUCAAAUAUCUUCAAAAAAAAACCCACCAUGCACUUUUCUGGAUUAAACUCCAUUAACUAUUGCUCAGACCAUUUGCCCAACUGAUUUAGAUCCUGCUGUAAUUUUUGAUAACAAUUUUCACUGUCUAUGAUACCGCAUACUUUAGUGUCAUCUGCAAACUCUCAGUCCCAAAAGGCCACUCCAUUACAACUUGCCUUUAUUUAUUUAGUCCAUUUUGAUCACUUUAGCAAGUCUACGGCUGUCUUGAGGUCCCUUGGGAAAGCAGCCAACAUUUGUACUAUUUCAUUCCAUAACUUGGAAUCCAAUUCAAUUUGCGAUUCACAUUCUAGUUCAUCAGGCACCAUCUCCACCUCCCAAAAUAUUUGAGGAGAUUAACCCAUUGUUGAUAAAUGGGGAAUAUUUAGAAAUGCUAUCAACAUCUUUGAAACUGCACAUUAUUAGUCUGAGGUUGUGACUCAUAAGGAAAAGGAGUAGAAUGAGGCUGUUCGGCCCAUCAAGUCUACUCCGCCAUUCAAUCAUGACUGAUCUACUCCCUCCUAACCUAAUUUUGCCUUCUCCCCAUAACCUCUGACACCUCUACUAAUCUAGAAUCUAUCUCUGCCUUAAAAAUAUCCACUCAUAGCCAUCUGGGGCGAAGAAUUCUACAGAUUCACCACCCUCUGACUAAAGAAAUUUCUCCUCAUCUUCCUAAAAAAUGUACAUUAGUUUUUAGUUUAAUUUAGAGAUACAGAGCGGAAACAGGUCCUUCGGUCCACUGAUCCCCGCACAUUAACGCUAGAGGCAAUUUUUAUAUUUAUCAAGCCAAUUAACUUACAAACCUGUACGUCUUUGUAGUGUGGGAGGAAACUGAAGAUCUCAGAGAAAGCCCAGAUGGUAGAAUGGAAGUUUAAAAAAAAAAUCCAGCUAUACCUUAUUCAGGUCUGCAUUCUAUUCUCCAAUGUUGGUCCAGCUGUUCUCUUUCUCACACUGCUCCUCUUCAGAGAGGUGCCCUGCCUAUGAGCAACUUUAGAGCAGAGAUGUAAGUGGAUUUGGGCUGCAUGGGCAUGGUUUUACUGACAGCUUAUCCUCCCACGCAUUUUACUUAUUUCAGAAGAAACCGUUUGCAUCAGACACAACCUAUAUAACCAUCAUGUGUGGGAAGGAACUGCAGAUGCCGGUUUAAAUUGAAGAUAGACACAAAAAGCUGGAGUAACGCAGCAGGUCAGAUAUCAUCACUGGAGAAAAGGAAUUACUGACGUUUCUAACGUUUCAGAUCGAGACCCUACUUCAGACAGCCAUCAGUUAGAGCAAUGAGCACAGACUUUAUUGGGUAGGAAAGAACUGCAGAUGUUGGUUUAAAUUGAAGGUAGGCACAUAAUGCUGGUGUAACUCAGCAGGCAGCAUCU